AUUUUCAUUCCUUUUAAACAUCAUCAUUUGUUACUUGCUUAUUCACUCGUUUGUUUAUUAAUUUUUUUUUACUUAUCUACCCGUGUAUUUGCUUAUUUAUUUAUUUUCAAUUCAGCAUGAAUUCAAUAGAAAGAAAACUGAAAUUGCUAGGUUAUAAAACUGUUGACAUUGGAACAGAUGAAUUUUUUUAUAUGAUUUUAAAAAUAGAGGAAGAGAAAAUACGACUAUAUAAACCCAAAGACAGGGAAAAACUGAAUUAUACCAGAGAUAAAAAUUAUAUAGAGCAUAUAAUUAAAUAUUUAAAAAAGUUAAAUAUUAAUACAACUAAUAUUAGUAAAGCAAAUAUAAAUGAUAAGGAAGUAAGAGAAUAUGUUUUAAAUAAUUUAACGACAUUGGCAUUGAUAGAUGAAUAUAAAGAUAUGGUGAAUUUCGAUGAGGAUGAAACAGAAGAAAUAGAAAGUGAUGACAAACUAGCUAACAAUAAUAGUAAUAACGAAGAGGCUAACAAAAAUAACAAUAAUGUAGUAAAUUUUUUUGAAUUAAGUUACCUACAAAAUAUCGAAAAAGAAGAACAAAAAAAACAAAGUGAUAAAAUAAACUUAUUAAUAAACAUAAUAAACAAUUUAUUUAAAAAGAAUGAUAUUCCGUUAUUGAUUUGUAUGAACAAUAGUUAUUAUGACCCUAAUCAGUUAUAUUACAUUAUAUCUGCUUUAUAUUUAAUAAAGGAAAAAUUAAAAAGAAAAGAAAAAACAGAAAACGAAGCUUAUCAUAGCUUAUUUAAUUUUAACAUUAAAGUAUCAAAUGAUGAGUUAAAAAAUUUUGUUUACAUUAUACGAUAUUUAUCUAAUGAAAUACUGAAAGAAAGAAAAGCACAAAUCAAAAAUGUGCUCAAAGAAAUACAAAUAUUAACUUACAAUCCAACUAUAGAUAUAAAUCAAGGUAAGACAGUUAAGCAAGGUAAGCCAGGUAAGCAACGUAGAACAGGCAGGUAGGAUGAUUUCACAAUUGCUAUCGGUACAAACGUUGUGAGUCGUAGAUUAUAAAAAAA
rnacentral:lncRNA from 1 species